ACUUCACCACCCCCACAUUUAAUGGAUAAAGCCUGUUUCCCGUAGCCUAUGACAUAAGACUCAAAGAUAACUUGGUCUCACAAAAACCUUGUACUCGUGGACUUGCAAGUGGCUGCGCGUGAUCUAGUUACAUCACUAAUUCUCAAUUAAGGCUUAUUACUCAUUAUAAGGAAAAUAAAUCCACUUUUUGUCAACUCGGAAAAUAUUUGAAGAAACUUCCAUCGUUAGCUCGCUAGCCUAAGUUACACCUAACCGUUCUUCAUCUGUAGUCAGCUUUUGAAACGCUGGUAAGUUUUUUCCUCGCGGGUUCGA